rnacentral:misc_RNA from 1 species
ACGAGCGGACGCUGCACUUUGGAGCAGUGUGGAGCAGUGUGGAGCACUUUGGGCACCGGUCUGGAGGAUGGACUCUGGGGAGUUGAAUGAAACGGGGAGUCGUGGCGGUGGGCAAGUUGCACUUUUUUUACACAAGCCAUUCUUGGCGGAGGAACCACACUCAGUCUUGCUGAGUCGAGUCUGUCUUUCUUUCUUACCCAGAUUUGUCCGACUCUGAGUUGGUCCCUCUACAAGUAGCUGACUCUGGGUCUCAGUCUCUCCACGGGGCUGUGUGAUUGAUAACUCGAGACACGAGUUUCAAGACGACUGGAUUCACUGAUUGGGCUGCUGAAAGUUGACAAAGUUCUCGGAAAACAGGCUUCGCGCUAACAAGUCAAAGACAGACAGACAGCAUGCUUCCACAGCUUACACAGGAGCCAAAAUAAGACAAAAAGAAAGGCCCCGAGCGUGACGGAGACAUUCGGAUUAAUGGGUCUGGGUUAGGGUGAGGCUUUUUACCCAGACGGUCGAAAUCUCGGUCAAAUACGGCUUCCCACAAGGUCGUCCUGACACAGCAUUGUGGGUGGAGGAAUUUGCUCACGAUAAGAAUAGGUCUGAGAGCGGACGUUUUUUCACAAAGUUGAAAGCCGAUGCGGACAGCUACUUGGAGCAGAAGAGAUCCUCCUCACAGCCCCGUUAAAGGGCCGGUUUUAAGUAGAGCUCCCGAGAUCACACGUCUAUCAAACGCAGAGGUUGAGUCUUGCACACAUACAGUUGCGACAAUGGAGAUCAGUGGCAAUCUCCGUUGGUUGACAUGACUAAAGACAGGAGGCUGAGUAACAUCCACAGUGAGAGCGAAAGUUCACCUUGCUCGGUUAGGGAUCGCAGUGAGAGAACAAGUCACCCCCGGUUAAUGUUGCAGACUGUCCUGGCUAGGGGCAACUUGAGCCAGGAACGUGCCUGCCAGUAGCUGGCAAUAUCUCCUUCCUGUUAGCUGAUAAUAACAGUGCCGGGCUACUGUAGCUUAAGCAACGACUCUAUCUACCGCUUAGCCAUUCUCUUUGCGGAACAAGGCGCUAAACAGACGCUAGUGGCCCAUUGUUUGGAGUCAUGACGUGCUAGGCUGGGAAUGACUAGAGUAGCUGUCUCGUUAGAUCUGUCAUAGACGACGUUGGUUCUUUAUCAAGUUGAUGACGAAGUAUUAACAACGACCUUGGCAGCGGUUGACGUGCCUCUGACCGAGGUCUAUUCCCCAAGCGGAAGGAGUAGAGAACCGCGGUGUGAACAUGUAAGAAUUAUCUAAGCAGUAGAUGGAUCGACACCAGCGUCAAUCUGUCAAGAUGAAACUGGGGCGCAUUGGAGCAUUGAUGGAUCAAACAGCCCCUGGAGCUCCAGUUGCUGCAGUGAUCAAGGUGAAACAGAUGAUGGAUGUGUGUGUGUCCAUUGUUAGCAUCCACCAACGGUAAUUUUCCAGAGACGAUCGAAUGUAACAAGCGGCAAAAAGAAAGCCCCUGUUACAUAAUACUGCAUAUUCAUUCUUGCAUUCCUCUAGCUCGAGCUCUAUACAAUCUACGGUGCGCCCACAUCCACCAUGCAUGCUUGUCUAAUCAAUCAGUUAAGCGAAGUGGAUCGCUAAUGACGGACACAUCAGCUUUCACUG